rnacentral:rRNA from 1 species
CAGGCUUAACACAUGCAAGUCGAGGGGCAGCAUGGUCUUAGCUUGCUAAGGCCGAUGGCGACCGGCGCACGGGUGAGUAACACGUAUCCAACCUGCCGUCUACUCUUGGACAGCCUUCUGAAAGGAAGAUUAAUACAAGAUGGCAUCAUGAGUCCGCAUGUUCACAUGAUUAAAGGUAUUCCGGUAGACGAUGGGGAUGCGUUCCAUUAGAUAGUAGGAGGGGUAACGGCCCACCUAGUCUUCGAUGGAUAGGGGUUCUGAGAGGAAGGUCCCCCACAUUGGAACUGAGACACGGUCCAAACUCCUACGGGAGGCAGCAGUGAGGAAUAUUGGUCAAUGGGCGAGAGCCUGAACCAGCCAAGUAGCGUGAAGGAUGACUGCCCUAUGGGUUGUAAACUUCUUUUAUAAAGGAAUAAAGUCGGGUAUGGAUACCCGUUUGCAUGUACUUUAUGAAUAAGGAUCGGCUAACUCCGUGCCAGCAGCCGCGGUAAUACGGAGGAUCCGAGCGUUAUCCGGAUUUAUUGGGUUUAAAGGGAGCGUAGAUGGAUGUUUAAGUCAGUUGUGAAAGUUUGCGGCUCAACCGUAAAAUUGCAGUUGAUACUGGAUAUCUUGAGUGCAGUUGAGGCAGGCGGAAUUCGUGGUGUAGCGGUGAAAUGCUUAGAUAUCACGAAGAACUCCGAUUGCGAAGGCAGCCUGCUAAGCUGCAACUGACAUUGAGGCUCGAAAGUGUGGGUAUCAAACAGGAUUAGAUACCCUGGUAGUCCACACGGUAAACGAUGAAUACUCGCUGUUUGCGAUAUACAGCAAGCGGCCAAGCGAAAGCGUUAAGUAUUCCACCUGGGGAGUACGCCGGCAACGGUGAAACUCAAAGGAAUUGACGGGGGCCCGCACAAGCGGAGGAACAUGUGGUUUAAUUCGAUGAUACGCGAGGAACCUUACCCGGGCUUAAAUUGCAGAUGAAUUACGGUGAAAGCCGUAAGCCGCAAGGCAUCUGUGAAGGUGCUGCAUGGUUGUCGUCAGCUCGUGCCGUGAGGUGUCGGCUUAAGUGCCAUAACGAGCGCAACCCUUGUUGUCAGUUACUAACAGGUUCCGCUGAGGACUCUGACAAGACUGCCAUCGUAAGAUGUGAGGAAGGUGGGGAUGACGUCAAAUCAGCACGGCCCUUACGUCCGGGGCUACACACGUGUUACAAUGGGGGGUACAGAGGGCCGCUACCACGCGAGUGGAUGCCAAUCCCAAAAACCUCUCUCAGUUCGGACUGGAGUCUGCAACCCGACUCCACGAAGCUGGAUUCGCUAGUAAUCGCGCAUCAGCCACGGCGCGGUGAAUACGUUCCCGGGCCUUGUACACACCGCCCGUCAAGCCAUGGGAGCCGGGGGUACCUGAAGUGCGUA